AAAUGCAGCCGCCGCCCCCCACCCCCCUGGCGGGCGACACAGGGCCUGUCACCGCGUCAUCGGGCUGGGGGGAAGCCAAGUGGGCGUGACCCGGGUUAAACCAUCCGCCCGCUCCUCUUUGCCCCAGUAGGAACCAGGCUGGAACCGGUGAUGUCGGUGACUUUUCCCUUUGUUUCAUAACAUGCCCGUCUCUUUUCUGGCCAGCUCAUAUCUGCGUGCCUGGAUGUUCAGGCUGGGCUGAGAGUAGCAGGAUGGUGACCACGCGGAAGACACGUUGUCACUGGGACGAGGGUGUUGGCAUUCGCCUGAAAUUCUCCCACUCACUUCGCUAAAGUCUUUUGCUUCAGUAAAGCAUUCUUCCCUUGGGACCAUGUGGUGAUUAUCUCUGCUGUAAAAUCCAACAUUUUGGAAAGUUGUCCUUUUUUUUCUUUUAACUACAGUAGGUUUGGGUUAACAGUAAGAACCCUUCUUCCCUCCUUCACUUGUUUCCUGUUUUCAGAGUGUCAACAGCUUCCACUUAAGUUUUAUUCACUGCAGCAGAAUAGGGGAAAGGGAAAAGUAAAUCUGGAAUUUGAAGAAAUUAAAUCAAGAUUUUAAUUAAAAUUUGUAAAUUCUUACAAAUGUCAGGCCUUUAUUCUCUUUGUUAGUGCCAAGCUUUAAAAUGAUUUAGCUCCUGUGGAGUUUUGUCUUUGCCCCCUACCUCUUUUUGACCUUUUCUACAAAUUCUGCUCAGAAUUAUAUUUAGAACAUAUUGAAGGAGAAAAUAUCACCUAGUUUCUUGGUCCACACCUGAAAAUGGGCAUACUUUUCUGCUUUUCUUUUCUUCAUAUAUAUAUAUAUAUAUAUAUAUAUAUAUAUAUAUAUAUCUUUAUUUUCAAGGCGAGUGACAGAAAAGUAAACUGAAUCAAAGCACUUGCUAACAGAAUCCAAUGAUGCUUGUAGGCUUCCUUCCAGUCAUAAGUUUGUAAAAGCAGAGUCCUUCAAUUUUAACUAAACACAUUAGAAAAAAAAAAUCAAACAAAAUAGUGCAAAAAAUAAAAACAAUUUUAUGUUUAGAACAGGUUGGAAAAAAAUUUUAUACCUGUUUUCUCAUGGAAUGGGCAUUACCAAAAUGAGCUUGUAAAGGAAUUAUGAAUUAACAACUCUAAAUUUCUUUUUCUAGGGGCUAAUUGUUCACUUUGACCAAACAUUAAGUUGCUAAGCCCCUAUAACAAGAAGGGAAGCCACUUUGCUGGGAAAAAGUUAGGAACACAAUAGUUCCUGCCCUCAAAGGGUUUAUAUUCUACUCUAAGCAUAUUUAUUCUACAAUAUUGUAGACAAAAAGGUGUGCAAACAGUAUAAUGAAUGGCAAAUUGAGAAAGGGUGAAAAGGCACUCGGGUGGGGGGAGAAAAGAGCUGUGAUUCAAGGAAGACUUCACAAAAGGGAAAUUGCAUAACCAAGCCCUGAAAGAUAAGGAUUUUGAGUGGUGGAGGUGGAAUGUCUAGUUCCAAGAAUAACUAGUACAAUGGUUUAACUGGAACUAAUUUAAGAUAAGGUUGGAAAGGUGGUCAGAACCCUGAUUGGAUGAGGACCUCAGUGGCCAAAGAAGGAAUUUGUAUUUUAUCCCCAUGUCAUUUUGGAGGUUUUUUAAGCAAGUAGAUGGCAUGAGACCUUCACCUUAAGAUUAUUUUGGCAGUACAUGAAAAAUAUUUCCAUUUUAUAAUAUAAAGGUACCUCAUGUAGACAAGGUUUACUUGCCUACAAUAUAUCUGGGACUGGAUUUGAACUUAAGGCUCAGCACUCUGUCCACUGUAUCACUUAGCUUUCCAGGGGAUAGAAAAUAGAUGAUGACCCAACAAAGUUUAGAAAAUGAGGAGUCAGUGAAACAGAAAAAGAUUGAGGAAAGAGUAGUGUCACUGAAAAACCAGAGGAGGACUGAGUCUCAGGGUCUGAAGGAGCAGAGAGAUCAGAGAGCCUAAAGAAAAGCAUUGGGUUUAGCAAUUGGAUUCUUAGGGAAAGUAAGGUCUAAAUCGUUGCUAGGGAUUAAGUGGUGCCUGAUGAAGAAGUCAGAACAGAUUGGAGAUGUUCCUUUUGAAGAAGUUGACAGUGAAAGGGAAGAGAAAAAGAGAAUAGCUUGAGAUGCAUAAUCAUUGUGAAGGCUUUUAAAGAAAUGCCCCUGAGAAUGUUUGCAGAAAGUAAAGAAGGAUCAAGUGAAUGGGGAGAUUGAAUAUGAUUAGAGGAUAUUGGGGGUAUAUUAUUUUUGAUGGCUUAUAUUUUUCCCAGAAAAGUAGAAAGGAAAGGCAUUUAUUGGGAGAAAGUGGUGUGUGUAGUGGCAUUGGGUGUGUUAGGUGAAAAGAAACAGUUUAGAUCCACCUUGAGAAUGGAGUUGAAUCAACCUAGGCUUUGCAGAGCAGUGAGUGAGUAGUGAAAGUUAAGUGGCAAAGUGAUAUGACUCUCUCCAUUGGUAUAUAUCUGCUUGGGAGAAGGCAGAUGGGAUGAUCCAGACUUGAGGACUGGGAGGGAGGAUAAAGGGGCAAGUACAUCAAGGGUGGAGAACAAUAUGUAUGUUUCUAGUUAAGCUGAUUAAGUUCAAAGGUUGUAAAGAGAGUAAAGUGAAGCCAAAGCUGGGGGUAUAGGAUAGACUAGGUGACCUCUGGAGUCCCUCCCAACUUCGAGAUUCUAUGACUAAGCAAAUAAAGAGAAAUAGAGGUAUUCUGAAAGUUUCAGGAUAAUUUUAGAGUAGAAAAACAUGGUGGUACUAUAGUUAAAUCUGAUCUAGCUUUUGAGAUCUAAUAAAUUACCAUCCUUGUGGUUAGUGGAGGUGUAUUAAAGUGUAGAUCAUGGGAAUUGAGGUUAAUGAACAUAGUUGGGCAGCCAGGAACACCAUUAUACAUAUCUAAGUCCUUGAGCAUGAGAUCAGAGAUAGGAGUAGAGACAAAAUCUAUGAUACAGGCAUUGGAAGCAGUAUAAUCUGGAGGCUAGUAGAUCAUAGCAACCAGGAUCUAUUUGGGGAAUACAACUGGGAUGGAAUGGGGAGGAUAAACCUCAGAAAAGAAGAGCCUAAUGAGGGAUGGUAGCGGAAGUGGUAUGGGUCUAGACCUAUUGGCCAGACUUGAUAGUGGGGAAUAAGAAGUAUGCCAAUUCCAUGUCCCAGAUUACUGUGUUAGGGGUAUACUAAAGAAGGAUUCCAGUAGUUUAUCAAAGUAUGGUGGUAGUAACAUGGAAAAAACUUAUAUUAGCACUUCUUAAAAUAUCCUACAUAGAUUAAAUUGUUCUCACUUAGUGACCUGUAGCAAAGUAGAUUUUUUAGAUUCUUUUGUUUUAUUUUCAGAUGUUUCUAUCCUAAUUCUAGAAAUAACAAGAAUGACUUAAAGCCAAAAGUGUCAAAAUUGUUGCUUUGCCCAAACCAGAUUAAAAUGUAAUUGGGAAGUAUUUAACAAAAUAAAUAAAAAUAUGAUACAAUAAGAGCAAAAAAAUAUUCUAUGUAAAUACAUGAAUUUAUUAAGACUUACUAUUAUAAUCUCUUCUUAGGAAGGUUUAGUUAUGAUGUUUUCUCUUUGCUUUGACCUCUAACCAAAAACCUAUAGGACUAAUAGAUUUAUCACAGAUACUGGCUUGAUUUAUUGGGUUGGAUUAUCAGAAUUGAACCUAAAUUUUCAUACAUUAAAUAAGUUGGGAGAAAUGCUCAUUCCACUAAUAUUUAUAAAGUUAAACUUAGCACAUUAUAUUUUCCCAUUCCAAGCAUAAUGGAAAUGUGAAGAUCAUAUUUUAGUAUAAAAUCUUGAGAUUCUGGGCAUGUCUCUUCCCCUUUUGAAGCCUUAGUUUCCUCUUUGGUCAUAUACAGGUUUAUAUAUAUAAAUAUAAUAAUUUAUGAGAAACAAAUGAGAUAAUGUAUGCAAAGUGCUUGGUAAACCUUAAAACUCUUUACCAUUUAAGCUAUUAUUAUAGUUCUUAAUUCAUUAUUUCAAAGAUCUUUGGUUUUAUCAGUAAGGCUAUUCCUUUUUAUUUCUGAUGCUGUAGUUGGAAAGAAAUAAUUACUAGAUCAUCAAUGCUUUGGUAAUGAGUUUGUCUAAGCUUAACUAGACUGCUCCUUGUACAGUUUAGUCCAACAUUUUGAACUUUUAUCUCACAUAGCACUAGUAUUACAGGUAUGCCUUGUUCUAUAGAAUAAAUCAGUAUAGUAAACAAUUUUGUAAGUUAUGGGAGGAACUGUUGCUUUAAAUUAAUUUCAGUAAUUUUCAGUUCCCUUUGUAUUUAGUUUUGAAUGAUGAAGGCAACUUGGUGGAUUCCUUAGAACUCUUGAGUAGAGCUUGGAGGCUGAGCCAGAUCAGUGGGAAGUGAUUUUUCUAUACCAUCUCAACAGACUUUUCACCCUGCCCCCCAUAACCUUUACUUUCUGAGAGUCAUUUUUAAAACAGAAAAGCAGCAAGGACUAGGCAAUUGGGUUUAAGGGAGUUGGUCCAGAUCACAGAGCUAAGAAGUGCCUGAGGCCAGAUUUGAAACUGAUCUUUGCCCCUUCAAUAGACUUUUAAAGAGACUUUCAAGUCCAACCUACACAUCAACCCAUUUUACAUGGGAAAGGACUUGGACAGAAAAGGGUAAAAGCAUCAAACUAGAAAUUUUAGAAGACACCAACAGUGGAGUGAUAUGACCUCAAAUUUUUCAAACCUUAAGAAGACCAAAAUCCUUCUUAAGUCAACCUGUCCUUUUGCUGAUAACAGUCUAAACCUAAUGGUAAUUUAUAUAGUUCAUACUAAUGAAUGUCUCUGUAUCAGAUUCUUGCCUUUCCCAUUCUCCUCUUUACAAUUUGGGCAAUUUCUCAUACUUCCUGUUUCAAUAUUUUUAAGUUACCUUAAAGCUACCAUUUUUUCUUUUAAUGUAUUUUUUUAAAGGCAAGGGUUCUCUAUUUCUUAACCAGGCUUUCAUAUCUUAGAUAUACUUAACUAAAGAAUGAUUUGUAGUGUCUGUUGGGUACAUAGUACAUGGGUAUGGGUAUGUAUGGGUACAUACAUAUAAGGGAUAUAAAAUUAUAUAACUAAAAACUUUCAAAGUUUGAAGAGACUUCAGAAAUCAUUUAAUUCAAUCUAGAAUCAAUAUAUGAAAACCCUCUUCAGUAUCACUAAGUGACUUAAAGCCAGUGGAACUCACUACCUUACAAAACAGCAGUCAAAAUCUCCCUCCCUGAAACUUGUAUUUAUUACAAUAAAGCAUUUAUCAGUAAAUCUUUGUGUACCUGUCACUGUGCCAGGUGUUGGACUAAAAAAAGAGAAAAAAUUGCCUUUUCCCUCAAGGAACUUAGACUUCCUUAUCUUUUUGUUGUGAAAUAUAAGUUAAGUUGGUAGAAGAGAGCACUAUUAGGGGAUCAGAGACUAAAAAGAACUUAGCCUUGGAAAAAAAAGGUAAGAAUUCUGAGAGGCAGAAAUGAGAAUAGUGCAUCCUAGGAUGGGAGGGAGUAUCUUUUUGUAAUUUCAGAAAGGCAGGAAAUGGAGUGUCAAGUUCAGAAAAGUAGUUCAGUUUGGUUGGAAUAUAAAGUGAAUAAAGAGUAUGAAUACAAUGCAAAAUAGUCUAGAAAGGUAGGUUGGCCAGAUUGUGGAAGGCCUUAAAAUCUGAGCUAAGAAUUGUGGAUUGUAUCCAGGUUGCAUCUUUACUUUUUUCUGGCAGUCUGGUCAAUCCUAUGGAACUUUUCUUAGAAUAAUGACUUUCUUAGAAUAAUGAUUUUUUUAAACCCUUACCUAAGAAUCAAUACUAAGUAUUGGUUCCAAGGCAUAAAAGUGGCAAGGGGUUAGAUAAUUGGGAUUAAGUGAUUUGCACAGGAUUAUACAACUAGUAAGUGUCUGAGGUCAGAUUUGAACCCAGGAUUCCCUGUCUUUAGAUCCACCUAGCUGCCCCUAAUAAGGGUGAUUAACAACAACAAAAAGAGCCAUAAUUGCCAGAAAUGCUACAUUUCAGUUAGAGAUUAAUGAAAAUUAAACAUAAUGUUUUCCCCAUCCAAGUUUACAGAUGCCCUGAAAUCUUAACACAGACAACUUGGGUAAUUCCAUUAGACCCCAAGUUAACCUCUCUCUCUCCUGGAGGUUUUAUAGAGAAAUGUCUCUGAGGAAGUCUGGUUUUGAUCAGGCAAGUGACAAUAGUCACAAUUUAUGUAGAGGAUGGAUUAUUAGAUGGUGAGACCUGGAAGCAGGAUGAACAAAUAGGAGGCUCUGUGGGGAGGAUAAGACCUUAAUCAUAAUGAUGGCUAUAUAAAUGGAAAACACAUGAAAAGUCUAUAUAGGUAGACUUGAUAUCUGAUGGGACAUGAAGCAUAUGAAGUAAGAGGCAAACAUCAAAUAUCAAGGGUGGUUCCAACUUAAUAAACCUGGCUAACUGAGAGAAUGGUAGUGGCCACCAUAGAAAUGGGGGUGUUUUCAAAAAUGAAUAUUGAAAAAAUUAUAAACAUGGCUCAAAAGAAGAAAAAAGGACAAAAAACUCUCAACUUACCCCUUUGCAAAGAUGUGCCACACUGCACAUAUUUUAACUUUUUCAGUAAGUUAUGCUGGGAAUUUUCCCCCUUAUUUUGUUUUCAAAAAUACUAAUUAUUAUAUGUGAUAACUAUAUUUGAUGACUCUUGUAAUAGAGAGAGAAAAGCAGGCAGGGCUUGAAAGAUGCUGGAACCAGAAAACCAGCUGCUGUUGGGAACUGAUUUCUGGGUAGCACCUUCUCUCUUCCUCCACUAAGCUGGACUACUUUUAAUGGAGUCAAUCCGUACCUGACCAGAGGGUGAGGCAACCCCUCCCACCCUUCUUCUUGAUUUGAAAAUCCUCCCUCCUGUUACACAAACUUUGAGACAGUUCUUCUUUAAUCUAAAUUAUCUAAUUUAUUUCUUGAAGAGAGAGAGAGCAGGCAGAGGGACCAAGGAGACCCUGCCAGCUGUUCUGUAUGGCUACGUUUGAUGGUAGGAUCAAAACUGUCUUUCAAGGGAUAUAGUUCCCCUCGGGGAAAUUGUGAUCCAGGGUGAUCUUCAGUUUAGGGCAAACUUUUUCCUUCAGCUCAGGCGGGCAAAAAGGGUAUUAGAAGAGAUAAUCUCCUAACCAGCUCUUUCCAGAGUCUUAGGUAAGAGACUGCCCAGAAUCUUCCAUGGAAUUCUCCCUUCCCCCACGGGCUCCUGAAUGUUCCAUAGCCCUUCCAAACACAUUUUCUUCAACCUUUGCAGGUCUCCCUUGUUCUUGGAAAAUUCCUUGUUUACACUCUCUGGGAAAAAGUAGGGAGGAAGCCAGAGGAAAAUAUAGUGAUCGUUUUCUUUAAUCUGUUUCUUCUAUCCAUAACUGUAAAAAGUAACCCCUUCCCAUCUCCUGUAAUUUGUCUAUAAUAUGACCUUUUUUUAUUUGGAUCUCUAUCCAUUGGAUGGACAGUUAUGUGGUGAAGUGGAUAGAGUACCAGGCCUACAUUUAGGAAGACUUAAUUUCCUCAAUUCAGAUUUGCCCUCAGAUACUUAAUUAAAUGUGUCAGAGGCUAGGCAAGUCACUUAACCCUUUUUGCCUUGGUUUCUUCAUCUGUAAAAUGAGCUGGAAGCGGCAGUGACAUACCAGUUCAGGAUCUCUGCCAAGAAAACCCUAACCAAGGCCAUGAAAAGUUAAAUAUGACUAAAAAAACAAUUCUGCAACAACAAAUCCAUUGGAACUUAUUGAAGCUUAUGAUGAGAGUUGUUGAUCUAAACUUUUUUUCCUAGUCUUGUUACCAAUUUUCCUAGCAUUUUUUUGUAACAUAGAAGGUCAUUAUCUCACUAAUUUAAUGUUCUUAGUGUUAUUGAUUACUGUGCUAUUAUGUUCAUUUACUUCUGGGUCUUGUUUUCCUAAUUUGUUCUAUUCAUCAACUUUUUAAAAAUUAAUAAUAAGUAGUGUUUAUUAUUAGUGUAGUUUGAGUUUUAAUAGCACUACACAUUCCCUUCAUUCCCACCCUCAAUCAUUUACCUUGAGACUUGGGGUCUUUUGUUUCUCCAUUGAAUUUUGUCUAGUUAUAUAAAAGUGUUUAAGAGUCUAAAACUCUACAUUUUAGCUAAAGUCUAUCAGAGCCCAUUUGAUGACUAUAUAUGCAAUUCUUAUUCAAGAGAAAUUCAGAAGGGAAAGUCCUUCUCCUGAUCACAAUACCCUUCUUCAUCCAAACAACUUUCAGCUUCUAGAUCAGUGAUUGUGACAUAGAAGACAAAAUUCCUUGUCAAAGUAAAACCUAGGAUACACAAUGUAAGGUUUUUCAAAUUUUCAAGUAGAAAAAGAAUAAUAUUCAUGCCAUAUACCCUUUAAGAAAAUAUCUUCCAGAAUCAAACUACUAUUUCUAACUGAAAAUGUUCCCAUUUUUCAUUUGGUUACCAUAAACAGAGCAAACUCUCAUUUGUCCAUAACAUCUACUAUGAGACAAAUUUAACUGAAUUGUAGAAACUGAUUAAGUCUUCCGUUCAAGAGAGGCCAAGGAGGUCUUUAAUUCAAGAAAGCACGAGAACUUUAGGCCUUGACACAUAUUAUUUAAUAUCUUGUAAUACAAGACUCUAAUGUUAUAUACUUUCCCCAAAGUAACACCUUGAUAAUGUUAUUAUUAUUUCACCAUAUCUGUAAUAGCCUCUUUUUUUUGUUGUUAGUAGUUCUCUUAUGACCAACCUUCAUUUUGAAGUGCAAUAAUUAUGAUGUUUUGGUACUCCAGAGUAAGCUUUAAUUUGUGUUAGUCUUCCAGUCUUUUCCUCUUAAUAUUAUACUAGUUUGCUCACUUGCCUUUGAUUGGAAAUUAGCAGUUGCCUGCUAAGUCCUAAUGUAAACUAAUUAUACUCUCAGCCAUUAUUUGUAGGAAAGUUUCAAACAAAAAACUGGAUCAGAUAGUACAUUGCCACAUAUGAAUUGAACGUUAGGGCAUUAGGGAGCUGUCAUCAUCUCUUCACUUAUUUUGAGCUGUAGCUCCUCUUCAUCAUUGAUUCGCCAUUUAUUCAAUUCUUUUCCAAUCUGAAGAUUGUUUUCUUUAUAGGGAACUGAAUGAAGCAAAUGUUUGAAUAGUUUUCUUUGUAGUUCAUGAUGUACUACACACCCUAAGCAGAAGACUGAUUUUUUGUUCUUCCUACUCCUCGCAUAGCUUUAAAAAUUCCUUUUGUUUUUUGCUAGCAUUUUUACAAGUCUCAGCUUAUUCUGUUUUAGUGUUUCUAACUAUCUGAAAGGGAAGAUGAUAUAAAUAGAGGAGAAUCUGGGCUUAAGUUUUCUUGGAUGAGUGCUGACUUAUGUGAUCUGAAACAAGUGACCUAACUUCUCACUCAGUCAGUCAGUCAGCAAGCAUCCAGUAAACCCCCACAAUGUGCCAGCCAUUGUGCUAAGCACUUGGGAUGGAAGUAUUUAAAAAAUGAAAGAAUGCCUACUCACAAGGACUUACAUUCAAAAGGAGUAUAUGUCAAGUACAUAUAUACAACAUAAAUAUAAAAUAGAUAUAAAUAUAUAAAGAGAAUUUGGAAGAAAGGAUACUAGUAAUUUGGGAGAUUCAUUCCAGGCAUAUGGAACCAACAUUUUCAAAGGCAUAGAGCUAGGAAUGGAGGAGCAUGGAAGUUUGUGUAUAUCUCAAAGUUCAUGGGAGAAGAAUAAUGUCCAUUAAAGCUGGAAAGACUGGUUGGAGAAAGGUCCUGAUAGGCUUUAAAAACUAAACAGAGGAGGGGCAGCUGGGUGGCUCAGGGGAUGAGGUUCUAGGUUCAAAUCUGGCCUCAGACACUUCCCAGCUGGGGGAACCAUGAGCAAGUUACUUAACCCCCAUUUCCUAGCCCUUACCACUCUUCUGCCUUGGAGCCAAUACAUAGUAUUGACUAUGAUGGAAGAUAAGGGUUUAAAAAAAAUAACUGAACAAAAGGAUUGCUAUUUGAUCAUAAAGGCAAUAGAAAAUUUAAUUGAAAAGGGAAAUCACAUGGUCUGAUCUUCAACCACAUGUACCUGCUUCUCUCUAUUGUAUAUAUAUUCAUUUUAAAAUUGAAUUAAAUGAUAAGACUGUAAUCAAAUCAAUAUCUUUAGGCUACUUCCUCUUGAUUCUUCAGGCUCAAUCAAUUUUCUCAUCAAAAUUUUUUUAAACUGUUCUUUCUAAUUAGAUCAAUAGCUCAUACUAUUUUUUCUUUGAACCUUUUGAAAAAUGGUUUAAAGUCUAGAGUAGACAUAAGAUGAUUAUAAAUAUACCAGUCAUUUCUUUUUUUUCACUUCACUUAACAAUUCUUCCUACUUGAUCAGAAUGAGGCCUUAAUUACCAGCUCUGCUAAUUAUUUCUUCUGCCUUUUGAAGUGAAUUUAUUAGCAAAGACAAGGCAAGAAUUUGAGUUAUUCUUCUUUUAGUAAGAAAAAAUAUUCUUCAGACUUCUCAGAUUUCCAGAAUAUGCCUCUAUGAGGGCCAAAAGAUGGAAGAAUCAGGAGAUAAUGGAAUAUAAAAUUAAAGGAACUUUGUUAAUUAUAGAAUUAUAGAACAGAAGUUCCAGGAAGUACAGGAGACCAGGAGAGGGAGUGGUAUAUUGGAGGGAUUAGGUUGAAGUGGUUGGGAUUGAGAUUGAAAGAAUGUGUUUAGGGUUUAGGAAGGGGAAUGGGAGUUGGUUUACUCUUAGGUAGCUCAGGAUUUAGUAUAGGAGAUUGUUUGCUAGGUUAGAGAAUAUGCAAGAUUAGACAAAUAAUGAGUAGAUAGAGGUUAUGAUUCUACCUCAAAAUUGUCCGUUUGGGGCUAAUCUGAUCUCCCCUUCAAUUUUUAGUUUAAAGCUUUCUUAAUUCAAUCCUGUCUCUAAACAAAUAUAUUCUUCCCAUUCCAUAUUACAUAUACUCCAACUCCAACUAAGAAUCUGUUUUUCUAGUAUCUUAAGCCAUGGUCCAGAAAAUCAAAUUCCAUAUUCCAAUGCCAUCUUCUUAACCAACAAUCAACAUUCUGUAUCAUUCUUUCCCUUCAAAAGUUCAAGUUUCAUUUACAAAGAUUGAUUAAAACUUUACCUGUACUUUUUUUCAGUUCACUCCUGAGAUUUUAUAGUCUCUAGAUAUUAUUUCCAUGUUUUCCCUGCCAUUAUCAUUCAUGCCAACAUUAAUCACCAGAAAUAUGUAAGCAUCGAAUAAUUUUUAUUUAACCAUAGGAUGGCUCUUUAUCAUAAGUGCUAUAUCCAAAAUUGCCUCAGGAAAACAUGUAAGAACCUUUAGAUGCUGAUUUAAAAUGCCCCCUUUCUCAGAAUCACUUUCAUCCUACUUUUCUUUUUUGCCUGCUUUGGGUAGAAACACAAAUUUAGCACAGUUCCUGGAGCCAAAUUUCUAGAAGGCUUCCUGGCUUUUUGUACCUUUGGAAACCUCUGAAGUUUCGGCUCUUCGCAGUCCUUCUCAUAAUUCUGAUGCUAACUCAGGCUCCAGUCACCUAUUGGCUUCCAGGAAUGACAUUUUUUUUUUAACCCUUACCUUUCAUCUUAGAAUUCAUGCUCUGAAGUAUUAGUUCAAAGCAGAAAACAGAAAGGGCUAAGAAUUGGGGUUAAGUGACUUGUCCUUUGGUCACAUAGUUGGGAAGUCUCUGAGGUCAAAUUUCAACCCAGGACCUCUUGUCUCUAGGUCUGACUCUAUUCACGGAGCCACCUAGCUGCCCCCAGGAAUGACUUCCUAAAACAGUCUUCCAAACCUUCUAGGAACAGCAAAGAGUAAUAGAUGAAUAUAUUGAAGAGGAUUGAAGAGGUAUGGGGAAUAAGAAAGGGUUUGUAACAGGGAAUGGAGGAGUUGAAAGGACAGAGGAAAUAUGGUUGCUGGUGAGGUAAAAGGAGAGAGGUACCCUGCUGAGAGACUGUGAAAUUUCCUCUUUUCUCUCAACCCACAAGAGAGGUACCCCUGGGUAAGGUAAGGUUAGGUUAAGGAUGACAGUACCAGUGUUUUGAGUGACUUCUGGGAAAUAGUGGAGUUUACUCCUCAAGGCUUGACUGAUAGUUAACCCCAGAAGUCUCCCUUGUCCAGCAGGCAGACUGUCACUGUUGGCUUUCAUUGUUUUAUGCUAGGCUAAAGGCUAACUUAGCCAUAUGAAGAUUGGAUUUGUCUCUCCCCUGAUUGUAACAAUGAAGGUACUUAGCUCUUUCUUUAUUGUAAAGAUUAAAUUGUAAUCCCCUGUCUAUUUUUAGAUUUAAAUCCCCAAAAGUGUAAACCCAGUAUUUAAAGUAGAUCUACCCAUUUUAACCACCAAAAGGUGUGAACACCCAUUUCAUACAUUUGAGUGGGAGGUCUAUGACCCAUGUGUGAAAGAAUGGGAAGUCCUGGAGAAAAGCAUCUGCUGUGAUUGGUAGACAUAAAAUUUAGGGGAGGUGACACAAGAGAAAAAGGUCUUUAAAUAGUGGAAAACUGAGACACACUGGAUUCAUCAGUCACUCAGAGUUGGACUGGAAGACAGACACUCAGACUUGGAGUGAAUACACUUGGCUGUGGAACUGGACCCCUGGAGGAGUUUGUGCAGGAGACAUUAGACUGCUUUCCUUUUCGACCGUGGUGAGUGUAAAGGCGGACUUCUUUCCUUGCCCUUUCUGGAAGUGUGAAUCUCCAAGAAAGGCUCAUCAUCUUGAGACUCCUUUCCCCUGACUGGUGCCUUAGAAUUUUCUAACUGAUUCAGAGGAAGCCAAAGUUCGUUCUCUCUCUCUCUCUCUCUCUCUCUCUCUCUCUCUCUCUCUCUCUCUCUCUCUCUCUCUCUCUCUCUCUCUCUCUCUCUCUCUCUCUCUCUCUCUCUCUCUCUCAUAUCUUCCCUCUAUUAUAAAAUAAACUACCAUAAAUUACAUUUUAUUUUUAGUAAUUCAUUUUGGGAUUUAGAAAUUAAAUCCCUGACGACCACCAAUUAAAUACUAAGUCCAACCACAUAAAAUUUAACAGCCACCGGUCUCUCUUUCUUUGUUCUCCCUUCAAUAUGAAUCUGACUUCGAUCUUCUAUUUUUUAAGUAGUUUAAUUAGCGUAGAUCAAUAAAGGGAAUAGGUAAGUGGGAAUAGGAGACCCUUGCUGCUUCUUCAGCUGAGCCAAGAUGGCUCAGCUUCCAUUUUCUUUGUUUCCUUCCUAACUAGUCACUAUCUCUGUCUUACUAAACAAAAGGCAAGUGUCUUUCUUGGGAAGGUCAAGGGAUAGAAAGGAUCUUCAUGGUGGCCCCCUGAAGUUAAGGAUCAACUUUCAACAGCUUACUUUUGUCUAGUUCUUUCUCUAAUGGAUGCUCUCACAGGAACCUUCUUCUCCAGAGUAAGGGAAUGGAGGCAAGGUAUUCCACAGGUUGGGAUAUAGAGUUCCUGGUCUAUGCUCCACACUCAGCUGAGUUCAGAGGGCAAAGACUCUUCAGUCAGCCAGACCCUUCAGUUAGCCAUUUUCCCUACAAUCCUCUUUCUCUCCACCUGUCACUCCCCAUCCUGAUCACAUUCCAACCGCUGUCUGCUCCACCUCACUGGGCAAAAAUGCCAAAACUUGAUUCAGUUUUCCUUUCCACAAAAGCUAGCCUAAGCAGUUCUCUUUCAAACUUCCUCAUGUUACCUGGCUUUCUUUUAUGUGGGAGUGAACACAGGGUUAGGACUGUGACUGAGCUUAGAAAUCUUUUAAUUAGACAGACACAUACAUGAAACAUAAACAUGAUGUAGAAUAAGCCGUAGGUCCAAGAAUUGGUGGAAGAAAAUAUAUUUUCUAGGGCUGUGCCAUUGAAGGGGGCCCAGCCUGCAGCUAAUCAGAGAAGCAAAGCAAACACUAAUCAGAACAGUGAGGUGGGACUUUCUUUAGAGCAUAUGUUCUUGCAGGUUUGAGAGGGAACCUGAGGGAUUGAUCUUUUAUGUUUUGUCUCAAUUACAAGUCCCAAAGUCCCUUGUACAUAAAGAGAAAAUGCGUAGUGAACUGAAUAAUCAGAAAUUUUUUUUCAAGACUACAAAAGCCACUUUUUUCUUCUGGAGAAUUUACAGGAAAAUUUAUAAGCAAAUCAUGAUUUAGUCUUAUACAUCUACACAUAGUAGAAAAAAUAGAGUUGUUCUGUUUGGUGCUUCAACUUUUCAAAAACAUAUAAAUGCUAGCAAAAUAGAUUCCCAUCUAGUUAUAAAAUGUGUGUAGCCAUUUGGAUUAAUUUGAACAGGAAAAAAAAAUUAAGACACUGUAGAAAAUCUUUUUAAAGACAACAGACUUAAAAAUCAUACCAUCAGCAACAUAUAGUACUUUCAGAAUAAAAGUUUAAAAAAAAACUUUGAUUGAUUGAAUAUGUUGAAUGGGAUGAGAGGAUGAGGGUAAUUCAGUAAGAACUGAGAGGAAGAAACAAUCACUCCAAGCUAUAGUGGUCAAGAAAAUAUUUAUGAAGAAACACCUUAAGCUGGUAAGAAUGGGUUGGCUUUGGAAAGGUGGUGAAAUAGUGAUAUUUCAUGAUAACAAUCCAGCAUACAUAAGAUCAGAAAUGAAAGAUGCAGUCUUAACAGGAGUGUACAUAUUAGAGAAUGAUGGGAGAUAAAAAUGGACAAGUAGGGUCACAAGUAGAUAGGGACAGACAUUGGACGGCUUGAAGCCCAUCCCAAAUAAUGGGGUUUUAUUCCAUAGGCAAUGGGGAACUGUUGAAGAAUUUUGAGCAGAGAAGUGACAUGAUAGGAUACCAUUUUAGAAAGUUUCAUCUAGCAAUAAUGUACUAGGUGGGUGAAUAGUUGUUUACUUGUAGGAAGUAAGGGAUAGAGUAAAUUUCAUGGAUUUGUUUGAAGAGGAAGAGGAGAAUUUGGAUACCAGCCCUGGGAGAAGAUUCUGAGGAGAGAAGGAUUGUGAAAAUUUUACUGGCAUUAAUAAUGGUCAUUCACUCUCUGACUGAGCUGGAAGGAGGUUUUGCUCUGGCAGGUUUUUCCUUGGCAGUCCUAAUCUCGUGGAGUGAUUAGUGAUCCUUGGUUUGAGAAUCUGCUUUGGAGUGGACUGUUUGCCCUGAGGUACAGAGACCAUCUGGCUGUGAUCCAUAUGUCAAAAAUCCACUUGGUCAAGGUAAUCCCAAAGACUUGGGACUUCGAGUUAUCUAGUGAAGCCAACCCCAGGCUUUAGGUAAGGGCUCAAAUUCACCUCUGAGUCCUUUCCUAUUCCUCUUUUUUGUUCAUCCGUAUUAGGUAGGUUUAUAAUCAGAUAGCUUUGGGGAUUUUUAGAUAAGAGCAGGAAGAUAUAAGAAGGGCUUGAGAAAAACAGAAGAAUGAACCCCUCGAGACGGCGUAUAGAUUGGAGGGGAGGAGAUAUAGCUGGAUAGAUUUAGGUCUGUAUUUAUCAUUUCCCUACCCUUAAUAAACUUGUUUUUACUACUUUUAAAGGUUGUGCUUUACUGGCCCUGGGGAGUUCCUAAGUGGGUUUUAUCAUCUCUCAUCCAUCUAAGAAGGAUUUUUAUUUCAUAUUCUCAUCCUGUCAUCAGAACUUCACAAUUUAGCUGCUUUCCCCAUAUCUCUCUAAUAUAAUGACUGUUCUGUCAGAGGUCAUUAGUGGUUUCUUCUUUCAUUAAACCUAGUCAACUUUUGUUAGUCUUCAUCCAUAACUUCUCUGUAGUAUUGAACACUCGAAUACCUUCUUUCUUUUUUCUUCUUCUCACUUGGAUUAUGAAGCAACAUUCUAUCAUAGUUCUCUCCCACCGUUCUCCUUUGUUGGCCACUCUUUAUCUUCCUAAUCCUUUAAUAUUGGUAUUGCAUAUUAUUCAGUAGUUGGCCACCAUCUUCACCGUAAAUAUUAUUCUUCCUGUUGACUCCCAGAUCUAUAUUUCUAGUCCUAACUAGCCCAUACCUACAUCCCUACCUUUCUAUAAGGCAUCAUCAAGACAGUAGAUUCUCUACUGGCACCUCUAACUCAACAUUCCCAGAAUCCUAUUUAUUUGAGUUUCUCCCAAACCUGCUCUUCCUCAUGGCUCUGUUUUAAACCUUGGUUUUAUUAUCUUCAGCCUUUAUUUUUUUCCAUACCUCUUGUGGUCAGUCUCUUGCCAAGGUUUGUCCCCUCUGUUUCCAUGACCAUCACUCUUGUACAGGCCUCAUUACUACGUGCCUGAACUAUUACAACCAAUUCCAACAGAUAUUUCUGACUUGUCUUUUCUGCUGCUCCCGAAGUCAUCCAUUGUACUGGAUUAAUUUACGUUAUGGAACAUUUCUAUAAUUCACAUUUUGAAAUCAUGGAAUAAUUACAUGAUUCAUGCCAUUCAACGCUGUAGAGAAAUAUUAAUUAAGAGUUCAUUCAGAAAUAGAGUUAAGUAGCAUAAUUUAUUGUUAGAUACAUGAGAGAUUAACAAGUUGAGUUUCUUUAAAUAUGAAUGGAAUCUCAGGAAUGAUUGAUGGGAGAGAAUUUUCUCAGGGAGCUUUGAGAAAGGCAGUUGAUCUAAAUGCUCUCACUUUUUGGGCUGACCUGAUCAAGGUUAGAUGAUCCAAAGAGAGCAGCUCUUCGAGGUUGGAAAAUCUUGGUGAAUUUAUACCAAGAAUAACCCAUCUUAUCCAGCCAGAGAAGAGGAGUUUGUUGGGUGCAGUACUUGUGACUGCCCUAAUAGGUGGCAGUAAAGUCUGACCUGUUGAGUGGAGAAGGCAGUGAAAUCUCUAACCAGCUGGAAAUCACAUCUGAGCAGCAAGAAAGAGAAACCUGACUUAAUCUUCUUGUUUAUAAGUUUAUAUUUAGAUUAGGAUAGUUAGAUAAGGAUUUGGGGGUUUUAGAUAAACUAGGAAGAGAGAAAAACUUUGACUUUGCCAAAGAAGAAGCAGGUCUUUGCAGACCAGAUUUGUUGGGUGGUUAUAGUAAGAUUUAUUAGCAUAGGGACCUUCAAAAUAUAAGAAUUGCCUUUCUACCUGUUUUCCUUUUAUUAUCCCUUCCUCUAAAUACAAUACAUAUACAAUCUACAAUAAAUAUAUUUUUAUAUAAUAGGCCUGAGCCAGAAUUCUUGAGGUAUUGUUUAGAGAAGCAAUCUUUCUUAACAGUCAAAACCAACAGCCUGUCCACUCAGAACACAGGUAUUGGAAAUACCUAUACCAAUACCAACAAUCAAUAAGGGUCAAUAACCCUUAUUACAUUUGGCGAGCCAAUUUUGGGACCAAAAGAACCUGUUAACAAGAAAAAUACUAUUUAUAUUUCAAAAGUCAGAUAUAGACUGCCUAGGUCCUCAGCUCCCCUUCAGCACCAUGGAGAUUCAAAAUAGCAGUGUUUCUCCCACUUCCAGCACAAAUUGUCACAGAAGCGGGGUCUGCAGUGACUCAAACAUUGACAACAAUGUGGUUCAGAUUAAAAUAUCUGAAUAUGGGAAAUCUUACCCAAAUGGUUAACAAAACAAUUCGAGGGUACAUUAGGGGGAUACCUCUGCCCAACCCUCCAUACCAGAUAUUGUGUUUAUCAUUUUUGGACAUCCUAUACUGGUUUCUGUUAGGAUGUCUGGGGAUGUUGGUGCCUUCCCUCUGUAGGAUGUCUGUUAUUUACAUCCUAAAUUGGUUCAUAUCAUCGAAACUAAAACAGAUCAGGGAUUUGAAGAUGUGAUAUCUGGAAGGGGUCAUAAAUUGACAAGGAAAAUUAAGUGAAGAGAUGAGGAAGAAAUUGAAUAUGACCACCAACAGUCACCUGUACAAACAAAACUUGAGCAGGAUAUAGCAGAGCUAGAAAACUCUGUAUGUGUUGGGGGGGAGGGGAGUGCAUUCCCACUGCAAGAGGUUCCCAUGGUGAUGAAUAACAAAAAGCUGGUUACUGUCAAACAAAAGAAAAGCUUCAUUCAAAUGGAUCUCAAUAGUUUUAAGAAACAUACUCCCUCCUUUGAAGAGAAUCCUAUCAUAAUUAUAAGAAAAUUCAAGAAGAUAAUAAAGCAGUAGUAUGAUCCCAUUUAUACUAACAUGAGCAUAUUAAUGGAUGAAUUAUUGACAAAAUAAGAAAAGGGAAAGAUAGUUUCAGAAACAGCAGAGUGGCCAGAAUUUUCCCCAGGUUUUAGAUGGAGCAGGAUUAGACAUUGAUUUCCACCUUAUGUCUCCAGAAGGUAAAACCCUCAUUUUUGAACAAAGAAAAUCAGAUGGUGUUCAUAGUGUGGAGACAGAAGCCGGGGACUAUAUGUUCUGCUUU